GCGGAGCGUUCCGGAUGAAUGCGACGGCCCCGCUGGCCGCCGCCCGCCCCCGUGGUUUUGCGGCGGGCGCCGCUGCCCCGGCCCGGCCGGCAGCAGGCGGAGCGGCUGCACCCUCCCGCCGCGCAGCGCUGAUUCAGUGCCCAGGGGAACGGGGAGCGUUUUCUCUCCUGAUGUAACCUCAUUUCUGCCAGCCUGACUGGCUCUGCUGUAACACCACUGUGCAGGAAGCUCGCGGGUGAUACCAGCUGCUGGAAGCGAACGCGACUCCCGAGUUAGCUGGCGUACGAGCUCCGCCGCGGAGCGGUGACAGCGGGGGUGCAGGCGGGGGGCCGCGCCGCGCUGCGGGGCAGGGCCAGGGUUAGCCCUUGGUUGACAGGGGCGAACUCCGCGCAGAGGUGUAUCAGAAAGCUUCCCAACUCACUAGCCGGAGGUGGUAUUUCAAAUGCAGCUGUGAUGCUUCGUGGAUCUAUCCUGACCACGCAUUCCCAGUCACUUGUCCUCUUGCUAGUCUGUCCUGGAAGACAGAGCUGUCAUCAAAAUGCAUUCCUGAGGCUUUCCAUAAAGCGAAUACUCCAGGCUAUGCUGAUUGAUAAGAACACAUCCUCCUCAGUAAUCAGAAUCUACAUUAGAAAAGUCUUAGGCCUCCGCAUCCUUGGGUAAAGACACACCCAUCUACCUAUUACAUUCCUUUCCUGAUGACGUGCCUAUUCAAGGGAACGUUCUGAUAAUUUCACUCAUGGUGCCAUAUACAUUAAUUUGACCACUUCCAUGAGACAGUGUGGCAUCUCAUAAGUAAGUGCACAUUGGUUCUAAACUUAAGUAGUAUUUAUUACAGCUAGAACUGUCUUCUUCAGCAAGAUGUUAGCAUUUCAGCUGCACUUUCUACCGAGUAAUAUAAUUAGCUGCUAUUGUACCACUUGGUGUAAGCUUAAGCAUCUUUCCCCACCAAUCUGAAAGUGAUUAACACUGUGAGAAUAAAUUUUCAUAGUAUUGUUGUUAUUAUUCUUUGUUUAGAAAAUAGAAACUUCCUUCUUUGCAUACAAAAAUAGGAUAUGACCACCAGCUUUUACAGAAAACUAUUUGGUGUGUUCAAGCCCUCAGAAGACAAUGACACUUCCAUCACAAUGGGAUUGGAUUAAGUGAUAAAGGAAACAACCACAAAUGUGACAUAGAAAGCCUCCUUAUCAUUACUUCUUUCUACUAAUUACAAGAUCAUACGUUAUAAAAAACAAGACAAUAACAUUAUCUCAAUUUCACCUGCUAUUCAAAUGUUUUCUAAUAGUGCAGACUUUUUUUUUUUUUCUUUCAGCUGAAGGAUUUACAAAAGUACAGUACUUUGAGUAUCCCUCUUUGUCAUACAUUUUCUAGCAGCAAAAUCAGUCUAUACUUCAGUGGAAGCUGAGCAAACAGAUCGGAAGAAAUAAGCUCACUUUCAAAUGUACCCUUAGAUAAUGAGCAUCUAAUGGUUUAAAGACACAGUACCACUGGUUGUGAUUUUUAAAGCAUCCAUUGCUUUGUAUCAAAGCCCUGCAUACAUUAAUUUUUUUCUGAGAGAGGCUACAUAGAUGAAGAUGCAUGUGUGAUAUCUGUUAUAAAAUAAAACGUUUUAGAUUCCCUGGAAAAAUCUCAUGCCUUCUGAGUAACUGAGUAACAAUUACACAGUAUAGACCAGUAAAAGCACGCACAAUUUCUGUUUGGGUAUGCACUAUGCAAAGAGACUUUAAGCACUCAUUAACUACAUCUAGUUGCUUGCAUAUACUUCAGUGAAAAAAAGCCAUACAUAAAAAGAAAGCUUCUAUUCCUCUAAAACAAAUAAUGGAGGACAAAGAAUAUGAUGCAAUGGUAAACAUGUUACAUGAAGUUUCAUUAUCGAAAGGUAUACAUGUGCAUCAUACACAUUUACACUUAAAAAAAUAGAGUCUGUAACACAAAUUAGUAAGUUUUAUUUGCACUUGUGGCAACUGGGUAUUAUCUGAUAAGACUUUUUUGUAUGUUAUGAUCUUGCUAAUUGUUCUGUGUUAAUCUGAUUUUCAAGAGACUUCUGAGAAGGUAUACUUCAGUAAACGUAUUGGUUUUUAACAAA